rnacentral:rRNA from 1 species
UGCCUACGGGACGCAGCAGUGGGGAAUAUUGCACAAUGGGGGAAACCCUGAUGCAGCAACGCCGCGUGAGUGAAGAAGUCAUUCGUGAUGUAAAGCUCUAUCAGCAGGGAAGAAAAUGACGGUACCUGAUGAAUAAGCCACGGCUAACUACGUGCCAGCAGCCGCGGUAAUACGUAGGUGGCAAGCGUUAUCCGGAUUUACUGGGUGUAAAGGGCGUGUAGGCGGGAGUGCAAGUCAGAUGUGAAAACUAUGGGCUCAACCCAUAGCCUGCAUUUGAAACUGUACUUCUUGAGUGCUGGAGAGGG